rfam:Dipodomys ordii contig_97126, whole genome shotgun sequence.
GGAAGGUGGCUCAGUGGUAGAGUGCUUGCCUUGCAUGCAUGAGGCCCUGGGUUCGAUUCCUUAGCACUCCA